rnacentral:rRNA from 1 species
AACGAACGCUGGCGGCAUGCCUAACACAUGCAAGUCGAACGAGACCUUCGGGUCUAGUGGCGCACGGGUGCGUAACGCGUGGGAACCUGCCUUUAGGUUCGGAAUAACUCAGAGAAAUUUGAGCUAAUACCGGAUAAUGUCUUCGGACCAAAGAUUUAUCGCCUUUAGAUGGGCCCGCGUUGGAUUAGCUAGUUGGUGGGGUAAAGGCCUACCAAGGCGACGAUCCAUAGCUGGUCUGAGAGGAUGAUCAGCCACACUGGGACUGAGACACGGCCCAGACUCCUACGGGAGGCAGCAGUGGGGAAUAUUGGACAAUGGGCGAAAGCCUGAUCCAGCAAUGCCGCGUGAGUGAUG